rnacentral:lncRNA from 1 species
GAGAAAUUACAAGAUAUUUGAAAUGAAUAAUCAAAAUCAUAACUUCUACUCAACCAACAAGUUGUUCUUUUGUGGUCAACUUUUUGCAUAUUGAGCACGUAUUCUUUUUCCUUGGCUUCAUAGGCGAUUUCAAGACACCAAGAACUCAUUUUAUUUUCUUCCUUCUGAGUUUGUGUAAUGGGAUGGUAGCAGCCUCAUCUCUUUAAAUGCUCAGGAGCAACCCAUUUCGAAUACAGCGGAACUACAUAGAGAGUUCCACUAUAUGCACUUAAGUAAUGCUUAACAAGAUAGAUGGGGGAUGAAAAUUCAUAAAUGCUUUUCGUGUAUUUAUCUCUUAACUUCAGCCUCAAGGCUUUCACAACAUGAGCACAAGAAAUUUUCUCCAAGUCAAACUUUCUACAAUAACAUAUUCUUUCUAGUAGAUUGACUUUGAAAGUAACAUCACUUUAGAUUACAUUGUACUCUCGUACGUGUUUCCAUUUAUGUUGCUCACAUGUAAAUUAUUCCCAGCAUUCAUAUUUUCCCUUAUGAUAUUUUCAUCCCAUGGAACACAUUUAGUUGUGGCUUUUAGAAUCUCUAUAUGCCUCUCCUAGAGUUUUGCGGCUAACUUCUUGAUUAUAGAAUUGGACAUGACAGCCACAAGAAACUCCCUUUUAUCCGUCAACACUGCAUUAAGUGACUCUGGAAUAUAUUUUAUCAUCAUAUCAAACCUAUAUUUAGUAAAGUAUGGUCGGCUUCACUUAUGAAAUCUAAUAUCAACCUCAAGGCAAUGGGCUGCUUCGGAAUAUUUUACCUUCAGCUCCAAAAAAUGUUCAGCAAAACUCGCUAUAGUUAUAUGCCCUUGCCGCAUGUUAGUAUCAAUAUAGGUAACUCCUUCAUUGAAAAUUAUUUCGGAGAUUUUCUGCCUCAUGCAAAGUCCAUGGUUAUCAUGUCUAUCAACCCUUGAAAUGUCAUUGACUAUACUCAUCUAUCAGAGAUAAUACACGGAACUAGUUCAUCGACUAUGAUAGACUUCAGCUUUUCAAAAAAGAAGAUUCAAAAAUUAUCGCAUUCCUUGUCCACCACGGUAAAAUCAAUUGAAAAUAUAUGAUUCUUUGUAUCUUAAGCAACAACACACCUUUAUAUUUAUCAUUCAAAUAUGUGUAGUCAAUGAUAAUUACCUCUCGCAUAUGGAAAAAUCCCUAAAUGCAAG